GUUUGAAAUGAUGUUUUAGUCAAAAAUAUCUGUUUGGGCUUCUUGCGGUCAUUUGCAGUUUACAAAUGAUUUGUAAUUAUGUCCCGUCCCCCGACCAUCUGCUCAAGAAAACAUCAGUCCACGGCUGAAUCUAGUUGAUGAUCCCUGAUCUAAACCAUGAUCUCACACUUCACCUCUUUGAAGCAUUGUCUUAUCCCGCUCAUCACACACAAAUCACAUUGCCAUGUUAUAUACUGACUGGCAGCAAUCCAGCUGAUCAGCAACCUGAUGUGGCUGUCUUUGGAUGGCAGAGGUGGACCUGACUGCCUGUCUAGAGGGAGCGGGAGAAAUGGGGCAGGUGCUUCGGUGCAGCAACGGCCAAUUGCAGGGUAGAGGCCGGGCUGGUCAGGGGGAGGGUAUCAAAACCAGAAUCGUAUUUAAGGCGUGGGCAAACACUGGAGAUGUACUUGUGCUGUGCCCCUGUCCAGUCGGCCAGUUUCUCUCUCUCUCUCCUUGUCUUUCUGUCUGUCUGCCUGUUUUUCUCUCUGCCGGACCAGGUCUCCUCCACCCUGCUGGUAAAAGCGCUCUUCAGACCUCGCUGGUCCUAUGGCUGGCACAGCACACACUACAAGGAGGAGUGAAACCUCAAAGUGGCGGCAUGGGGAAAAUGCUACCCAGGGGGGCUGGUGCUCUUGGGAUACAGGGAGGCUAUGGAGCCAAGCCCGCCAAAACCGGAGGAGCUGGGGGUAAUAUUGAUUGAUUGCCAUAUUUAUAUUUUUAGUGCUGCCAAUCAUCAUUUGUGAUUUAAUUUAUGA
rnacentral:lncRNA from 1 species